rnacentral:rRNA from 1 species
GUACGGAGGGGGCUAGCGUUGUUCGGAAUUACUGGGCGUAAAGCGCGCGUAGGCGGACCUGCAAGUCGGGGGUGAAAGCCCGAGGCUCAACCUCGGAACUGCCUUCGAUACUGCGGGUCUCGAGUCCGGGAGAGGUGAGUGGAAUUCCUAGUGUAGAGGUGAAAUUCGUAGAUAUUAGGAAGAACACCAGUGGCGAAGGCGGCUCACUGGCCCGGUACUGACGCUGAGGCACGAAAGCGUGGGGAGCAAACAGG